rnacentral:rRNA from 1 species
CCUACGGGAGGCAGCAGUGAGGAAUAUUGGUCAAUGGGCGCGAGCCUGAACCAGCCAAGCCGCGUGCAGGAAGAAGGUACAACGUGUCGUAAACUUCUUUUGUCAGGGAGUAAAGGCCGGUACGAGUCUCCGGUUGAAAGUACCUUACGAAUAAGCAUCGGCUAACUCCGUGCCAGCAGCCGCGGUAAUACGGAGGAUGCGAGCGUUAUCCGGAUUUAUUGGGUUUAAAGGGUGCGAAGGCGGCUGGUUAAGUCAGCGGUAAAAGGCCGGGGCUCAACCCCGUCGAGCCGCUGAGACUGGCGGGCUAGAGUUGAGGUGAGGUAGGCGGAAUGCGUGGUGUAGCGGUGAAAUGCUUAGAGAUCACGCAGAACCCCGAUUGCGAAGGCAGCGUACCAGCUUCACACUGACGUUGAGGCACGAAAGCGUGGGUAUCGAACAGGAUUAGAUACCCCAGUAGUC